rnacentral:lncRNA from 1 species
CAGCUUUGCUGAGUGCUCCAGCACUGCUGGCUCGGAGCAGCACUUUGGGAUCAUCCGCAGCAACGCCAAUCCCAUCCCUCCACGUGAGGAACAGGUUUGUUCCGUUCCCUUUUCCUGCUAAAUCCUGCCAAAAUGCAGCUCCGUGAUCCCUACCCUGAGCUGGAGUGACAGACUGACAGGUGCUGUCAGCGAGGGGCCGGCGACAGCGGGAUGGCUUUGGCUUUUCAUGGAAUUCAACAAGGCACAAGAACAAGACAAAGCAGCAGCAUGUGCAGCUCCAGGAGGCCUUUGGCAAAGCAGCCUUAAAAAUGCACAAUUCCAGAAUGUUUGAUUAGGAAAUAGAGAGCAUUAUCUAAAGAGUCUGUUCUGAUUUGCUGUCACAGACCUGGAUAUUCUCACUGCUUGGGAAGUGGGUGCUACCAAACCUUCACCUUGUGGUUCAGGAAAAACAGCCCAUCCUUCUGCAUCCAAAGCCAGGAUUUUGGGCUCACCCAGCUCAAAGUGCCCAGAGUUAUCAGGAGCGAACAGAACCACCUGGAGCCUCUCACAAAGGGGAAUACAGCCCCGGUGCUGUCCGUGGGAGUUUUGAUGUGGACUUCUAAGGAUCCAAAUGUCACAAUUCAGCGAGAGCCUGCAGAGAAACUGAAAGUUUGGCACCCAAAAUCCAUCCUGGUGCAAAUCCCAACCUAG